CCUACGGGAGGCAGCAGUGGGGAAUAUUGCACAAUGGGCGGAACCCUGAUGCAGCGACGCCGCGUGAGUGAAGAAGUAUUUCGGUAUGUAAAGCUCUAUCAGCAGGGAAGAAGAUGACGGUACCUGACUAAGAAGCCACGGCUAACUACGUGCCAGCAGCCGCGGUAAUGCGUAGGGGGCAAGCGUUAUCCGGAUUUCCUGGGUGUAAAGGGAGCGUAGACGGUAGGGCAAGUCUGGAGUGAAAGCCCGGGGCCCAACCCCGGGACUGCUUUGGAAACUGCCAUGCUAGAGUGCUGGAGAGGUAAGCGGAAUUCCUAGUGUAGCGGUGAAAUGCGUAGAUAUUAGGAGGAACACCAGUGGCGAAGGCGGCUUACUGGACAGUAACUGACGUUGAGGCUCGAAAGCGUGGGGAGCAAACAGGAUUAGAUACCCUUGUAGUC
rnacentral:rRNA from 1 species